rnacentral:lncRNA from 1 species
GAGAAGGCUCACUGAGCUCCAGAGAGCAAAGGCACAAGAGUGUGAGGGCUGGAGGAACAAGGAGGAAUAAAUCGAUACAACAAAAUCUAGACGGGAGCUUAUCUGCUGAGAUUGUUCGUUGAUAGAUGACGGUGGUGAAGCCCUUUACAAAAAACAAAUGGCUGCAGGUAGCUGAGCGGUGUGCAUACAGCCAAACAAUGAGGGAUAGCUUUGAUUAUGGAGACGGAGUGUCGAAGCCUUUUCAGGUGUAUGAGCAGGGAUUCCUGAACAGAUGUCGCCUUGUAUCCGCCCAGUCUGUAGCUGCGACAGCAACACAUAACCAGUUUUUUGUUUUGUUGAUGCAGCCACAUCAGAAAAGACACGCUUCCACUUGA